CCUACGGGAGGCAGCAGUGAGGAAUAUUGGUCAAUGGGCUUACGCCUGAACCAGCCAAGUCGCGUGAGGGAAGACUGCCCUAUGGGUUGUAAACCUCUUUUGUCAGGGAGCAACGCCGGCUACGUGUAGCCGGACUGAGAGUACCUGACGAAAAAGCAUCGGCUAACUCCGUGCCAGCAGCCGCGGUAAUACGUAGGUGGCAAGCGUUGUCCGGAUUUUAUGGGUGUAAAGGGCGUGCAGCCGGGGAGACAAGUCAGAUGUGAAAUCCACUGGCUGAAAUCGUGAAAUGCAUUUGAAACUGUUUAACUUGAGUGUCGGAGAGGUAAUCGGAAUUCCUUGUGUAGCGGUGAAAUGCGUAGAUAUAAGGAAGAACACCAGUGGCGAAGGCGGAUUACUGGACGAUAACUGACGGUGAGGCGCGAAAGCGUGGGGAGCAAACAGGAUUAGAUACCCUUGUAGUC
rnacentral:rRNA from 1 species